GCAAACUUGGUCAUUUAGAGGAAGUAAAAGUCGUAACAAGGUCUCCGUAGGUGAACCUGCGGAAGGAUCAUUAUUGAAUUCACUCUUGAAGGCUGUUUGCUGGCUUUUUCUUUAAGCAUGUGCACGCUUUCAUCAGUCCUUUUCCCAACCCACCUGUGAACUUUCUGUAGACCUUUUGGAGAGAUAUCCUUUUUCCCCCUUGCAAAGAGGGGAAAUUGGUUGAGGGUUGCUGGCUGUAAAGGUUCAGCUUCACCUUGUAACAACAUCAUCAUCCAUUGGUCUAUGUUUUUACAUACACACACUAUGUUGUAGAAUGUUAGUUUGAAGGCUUUUCUGCCUUUUAACCUAAAUUACAACUUUCAACAACGGAUCUCUUGGCUCUCGCAUCGAUGAAGAACGCAGC
rnacentral:misc_RNA from 1 species